GAAAUGCGAUAAGUAGUGUGAAUUGCAUAUUUCCGUGAAUCAUCGAAUCUUUGAACGCAACUUGCACUCUCGGGCAUUCCUGAGAGUAUACCUGUUUGAGCAUCAGUAACACCCUCACCUCCCAACCGUGGUUGGGAAAGUGGCAUUGGGCCUCAAGCAUUAUAUGUUUGUGGCCUGGAAUAGAUUCGGCGCCCCAUGUCAAGUGUACACUUUUCAAAGGCAAGCUAGGAACAGUCGUUCUUUCUUGGCUGGCGAGAGUGAGAAGCUUGAUAUGAAUAGCUGUUCUUUUAUCAGACGCAUAUUAAUAUGUGGCUGUGAAUUUGAUCUCAAAUCAGGUAAGACUACCCGCUGAACUUAA
rnacentral:misc_RNA from 1 species